rnacentral:rRNA from 1 species
CCUACGGGUGGCAGCAGUGGGGAAUAUUGGACAAUGGGCGAAAGCCUGAUCCAGCUAUGUCGCGUGAAUGAUGAAGGUCUUAUGGAUUGUAAAGUUCUUUCAGUAGGGAUGAUAAUGACAGUACCUACAUAAGAAGCCCCGGCUAACUUCGUGCCAGCAGCCGCGGUAAUACGAAGGGGGCUAGCGUUAUUCGGAAUGAUUGGGCGUAAAGGACGCGUAGGCGGUUUGGUAAGUCUUUAGUGAAAUCCCCAGGCUUAACUUGGGAAUUGCUUGAGAUACUGCUAGACUAGAGUAUGGGAGAGGCAAGUGGAAUCUUUGGUGUAGAGGUGAAAUUCUUAGAUAUCAGAGAGAACGUCGGUGGCGAAAGCGACUUGCUAGAACAUAACUGACGCUGAGGCGUGAAAGCGUGGGGAGCAAACCGGAUUAGAUACCCUUGUAGUC